rnacentral:tRNA from 2 species
GCCCAGAUAGCUCAGCUGGUAGAGCAGUGGACUGAAAAUCCGCGUGUCGCUGGUUCGAUUCCGGCUCUGGGCACCA